UUGUCUUCACUUAAAUUGUUUACACCUUUUCAGGAAAGUUAUUUAGCAAACAAUACAUUGCUAAUUAAACCCCUUUCAGACUUUGUUCGGCAAGCCCGAAGAACAUCAACUCACCAUUAUUCCAUUAGAUACAAGAUAUUUUCGGAAAUAUGAAAAUCGUUCAUUAGCACUUUGCUUAAUUUCGUCAAAAAUACCGGUACGGAGAAAUUGCACAGGAACUUUUCAAUUAGCGUGUCUAUAUGAUUAAUAUCGGGCUUUUUUGCGGUAUUUUCGGUUUAUAUAUAGUUGAGAUGUGUGAUAGGUGCCAUUUCAGUAGGUAAUAGAUUCUGCAUCUGUGUAGGAAUAAUAAGUACUUAGUUUAAGUGGAAACUAUUUGAAAUCUGUACUUAAUGGAGCUGAAAUCGAUUUACAUUUUGCAGUUUGGCCUGCUAAGUCACCUAAUAACCCAAUCAGCAACAUGGCCAUUCUCUCCUGAGGUAGAAACGAUUGCAAUUUAUUCACCUUUGGACAAUAAAAAAUACGUUCCCCUUUCGGCCAAACUCAUCGAUUCAAGCGCUCCAGUAGAUGAUUCUUUGGCUACUAAAAAGGAUCUGAAACGGAAAGAUGUUGUUGUUGCUCAAUCCUCUUCGAUAUCCCAACCGCAAAGCCAUUUCGAAGAAGCAAAUCAUCCAAGUGGAAUAUUGAAGUUAGAGCCUGCAAAUUAUCACAGAAUAUCCAAAAGACAAACACGAAGAUUUCCGUUCUACCGGCCGGUGGCCAGGUUUAGUGGCUUCAGCAGUAGCAGGCGAAGAGUGGAUGGAUUCUUCAGAAGACCUGGCUUGGUUGGCUAUUUGAACGAUCGGGACUAUUUCCCGACAGUAGCUUGACCUGAUUUUUUUCUUCAAAUUAUUUAUAUUUAAUUUAUUUUUGAUUAAAUGGGGGGUUUUCCUCAACUAGCUGCUAGUCAAAACAGUGAUUUUGCACGUAGCAGUUGCUUACAACUGACUGUUCAACACCAA